rnacentral:rRNA from 1 species
UACGGAGGGUGCGAGCGUUGUCCGGAAUCAUUGGGCGUAAAGGGCGCGUAGGUGGCCCAGUAAGCGUGCGGUGAAAGCUCGGGGCUCAACCCCGGGUCGGCCGUGCGAACUACUGGGCUGGAGCACUGUAGAGGCAGGCGGAAUUCCUGGUGUAGCGGUGAAAUGCGCAGAUAUCAGGAGGAACACCGAUGGCGAAGGCAGGUCUCUGGGCCACUACUGACGCUGAGAAGCGAAAGCGUGGGGAGCGAACAGG